rnacentral:rRNA from 1 species
UACGGAGGAUCCAAGCGUUAUCCGGAUUUAUUGGGUUUAAAGGGUGCGUAGGCGGAUUGAUAAGUUAGAGGUGAAAUGUCCGAGCUCAACUCGGGAACUGCCUCUAAUACUGUUGAUCUAGAGAGUGGAUGCGGUAGGCGGAAUGUAUGGUGUAGCGGUGAAAUGCUUAGAGAUCAUACAGAACACCGAUUGCGAAGGCAGCUUACCAAUCUAUAUCUGACGUUGAGGCUCGAAAGCGUGGGGAGCAAACAGG